GUUUUUGGGCUUCCAGCUUAGUCAUAGCCAAUGAGGUUAAUCCAAGGCAUAAUUAUUGCUAGUUGAAAAUUUCCCCAUCUUGCAUUGAUACAUACUUGUUACUGAAUAAAUAUGGACUAUGCUGAAAUUGCCAAACCCAAGGCA